CAACGUUAAGACAGAGGUUGGUUUUCUUAUUAUAAGGACCAUUUGCUGGCUCCAUUAUUGCUGGGCUGAUAAACAUGCUCUGCCCAGAAUUGUUAAAGGCACCGUUUGCCUCCUUGUGAAGAUGAUCAUCAGCCUGAUGAGGUACAUGUCUUAAGUCUUGGGAGGCUGAGGCAGGACUGUCUUCAGGCACACGCUAGAGGACCCGUCACCAGUUCCCUUUCCUCUCCUCCAGCACCUGGUUCCCUCCUAUGUGCCCCAGCUGCCCCAGGAAGCCUUUUCAUCUGUAUGAAGCGACACAUAAUAGAUUUUGAAAAUGAAA